CCCCCCCCCCCCCCGGUGGAGUGGGAGACCGGUGGUGCCUCCUGCAAAGCUGACAGCCACAUGCAGCACCCCUAUGCACUCGCUGCGCAUCUGGGAUGCCCCCCCCCGCCCUGAGGGCCCUGCAGAUUCCCACCCUUCCUGCAACCAGCCCCCCCAGAGCCAUUAAACCACCCACAAAUGCUGCCCCCACACCCCCACGCACCCCCAAAUGCCUCCAAAGCCUGCCGCAACAUGGUCACUGACUCCAGACCUUGCCCCUAAACUCUGUCCCAAAGUCCCAAACAGCCCUACAACCACUGCCAGAGCCAGUGCCCGCAGCAGUGAGGUGUUCUAAGAAAUGUGGGCGGUGAUGUGUGUCUCCCUCUGGACUCAGUGCCACUUUAGAGAAAAGGGAAUUUACAGGACUUCUUGGUGCAGAAUGUUGACGGGUGGGUGCACAGGUGACGGGCUGAUUUUUCUCCCUUUUUCUCUGAGCUGCCUCUCAGAACCCUCUGUAUGUGCAAGAUGUGACUGAUGUGGGAUAAUCGUGCUGUGCGCAAUGCUUCAGGAGAACAUGAACAUAAAAUUGCAGGCUAAUGAAUAACCUAAAAAAAUACAAGGCUCGGGAAAAGCCUAAGAGAACGCUGGCGGGCUCUGGGAAGCCCCAGGGAUGCUGCAGAAAAGAGCGUGGCUCUUAGGCACCUCCUCAGAGCAGGAGAAAUGUCUUYCUGCAGCCCAUAGGACAACGGGUGCUAUUAAUGACCACCUUGAAUUCCUGAAAGCAUUGUGAAAGCCGAAGGGACUGGGGAGGAUGCGUAGCAGGUCAGGGACUACGUGUAAAGGUUCAGCAAGCAACAAUGCCCUCUUAAGACAGAAACAGUUUAGUCUUAAUAGGUGAACGUAGCUUUGAGUAAUGGGAAGAGAAGCGCUUCUGUCAAUGCCCCGGAAAGCCUUGGAGAAGCGGUCCAAAGAUCUGCUACCCUCACGGCCUCAUCAGUCUUUUUGGUUUGUUUGGCAGGGUAGUCCACCGAAGGGGGGACGUCUUGAAGAGAAGCAGCUCGACCUAGCGAUGCAGUUGUUGAUUUUGGUCAUCGCCUGUGAGGGCAGCAUCCGAGCGUCAGAGGAAUCUAGGAGCUGUAUCGAAAAGAGGUGGAACCAACGAUAGCAAAYGCUGACAAAGAGCAAAGCCGGACGAGCAGUUUUUUGCAAUUAGUUCCUAAGGGGCGGGCUGAAACGAGGAAGCAGAAAUGCAGCAGCGGACCCUCGAUCUCCCCAGAAGCUGCGACAGUAGGAGGUGUUCUGGCCUGGGUAACUAAGGUAACUCUUGAUGCUGAAUGUUAGUUAUUUCGGCCUCCCAGAGGCAGCGCUGAGGACUAAGCAACCCAUUGCUACCCUGCGGCUAUUGUUAACCGUAGCUGCCUUAGUUUUGCUUUGGUUGUUUGUAUUUUGUUUUGUUAUCGUACAUGCGUAUGUAGAAAAGGAAAGAUACGAUAUGUAGUUUUUAGAUUCAUUGCUGUGGCUGAAGUUGAAGAGACCAGAAAAACGUAGCAAGCCGAAGUAAUAAAAUCAAAUGGAACCAAGCGAGAGCUGUCUCC
ensembl:lncRNA